AUUGAACGCUGGCGGCAGGCUUAACACAUGCAAGUCGAGCGAGCGGCGGACGGGUGAGUAAUGUAUGGGGACUGCCCGAUAGAGGGGGAUAACUACUGGAAACGGUGGCUAAUACCGCAUACUAUCGGAUAACCCAUAUUGGAUUAGCUAGUAGGUGGUGUAAAGGCUCACCAAGGCGACGAUCUCUAGCUGGUCUGAGAGGAUGAUCAGCAACACUGGGACUGAGACACGGCCCAGACUCCGACGGAGGCAGCAGUGGGGAAUAUUGGACAAUGGGGGCAAGCCUGAUCCAGCCAUCCCGGGUGUAUGAUGAAGGCCUUAGGGUUGUAAAGUACUUUUAGCGGGGAAGCGGUAUCUGCAGAAUAAGCACCGGCUAACUCCGUGCCAGCAGCCGCGGUAAUAC
rnacentral:rRNA from 1 species